rnacentral:lncRNA from 1 species
CUUGGAGGAGGUCCUUAGCUUGACGCCUUACCAUUGGCGGUCGGCAACCUCUCUAUCAGUUGAUUGGAGAGAGUGCAUGUCCAUCAAGGUCACGCUUGAGACUAGCAGAGGCGAAACCAGCGGGAAGACGACUUCGCCACCAAGGGCGGGCGGGCGUGCUGGGAUACUCCGGGUGAGUGGGACGCACUGGGCGGGGUUUCGCCGUUCCGAGGAUGUCGGGGAAGGGGGGGUCACUGCCAGAUGGAGGUUCCGGUUCCGGUGCAGUGGCUGGCUGGUUGCGUUGCUACGGCAGCGCGGUUGAGCGCUCUCAUCUGUGUGAUCGGGGCUUCGCUGACUUUCCGGCCUACUUAAGCCCCUGGGCCUAGGCCCAGGAAGGGUUUGUUGAACCGGGAGCUAAGAAGGGAAUUGGCUCGUUCGACAGACGUUUUCUGCGCAGCUGUGACGUGCAAGGCACGGGGCCGGUGCGGGACCUCCAGAGAGACCUGUGCCCAAAGCUUGAGAAAUGAGAAGCAGGUACAAAGCAAUGUGGGGUGCAGAGGAGGGAAAGGCAGUUUCCUUAGACCCACUGCUUUCUCUAGUCUCCAUUGUGCUUAUUACACCUUGACACGUGUUUGCUAACUUGUUUGUUGACUUCUCUCCCGGACCCUCGACUUCAUUCACUGCUGUAUUCUCAGUACGUAGAACAGUGCUUGGAACGUGGCGGGUGCACAUAUUGGUGGAAAGAACGAUUCCCGGGAGAGCGGGGCUCAGCGACAUCGCCAAGUGAUCUGUAGUCUUGGAGCCGCCCAGGGUUGGUGGUACCCUAGAGCACACCAGACUUGCAGAGAAAGCAGACUCAGAGGAAGCUGAGGCAUAACUGCUCAAGAGCCAGCAGUACGAUGUGCAAUUUUCCUCUGAUAGUUCCUGGGUACUGUUGCCACGGUGAUAAUGGCUGUGCCAGUGCCGUUAUCUAUCAACCGACAGUAAGAGCAGCUUUUUGCAGUCAGAUAUUGUUUAACAGAUGGAGUGGUUUCUGUUGGACACUAAGUACUGCUACAAGUUACUUUUUUUAAAAAUUAUUUUAGGAGUUUCUGUUGUGACUAAGCGGAAACGAAUCGCCCUAGCAUCCAUGACGACGCAGGUUUGAUCCCUGGCCUUGCUCAGUGGGCUAAGGAAUCCCGGUUGCCAUGAGAGCUGUGGUGUAGGUCGCAGACCAGCUCGGAUCUGGUGUUGCUGUGGCUGUGGUGUAGGCCAGGGGCUACAGCUAGGAUUCUAUCCCUAGCCUGGAACCUCCAUAUACUGCGGAUUCGGCCCUAAAAAGACCAAAAAAAAAAAAAAAAAUUUUUUUUUUUUUUGUUACUGAAAUGUAGUUGAUCUACAAUGUUGUGUUAAUUUCUGCUGUACAUCAAAGUGAUUCAUUUAUACAUAUAUAUUCUUUUCCAUUAUGGCUUAUCACAGGAUAUUGAAUAGAGUUGCCUGUGCUAUAUAGCAGGACCUUGUUGUUUAUCCAUUCUAUGCAUACUAGUUAGCAGCUGCUAAUCUCAAAUUCCCACUCCAUCCCUCCCCCGCCCCUCACAUUAUUUUUUUUUAAUUUAAAGUAGUUUAUAAGUUGUUGCUGGAGGUGAUCUGCUUCGGAGGCACUCCCAUUUAAACAUCGGAAAAUUAGUACAUGUGCUCUCAGCCAGUGAGUUCUCCAAAUACGCAUUUAGCAGGAAACUCGAGUCCAGUAAACUGAAAAUAAACUGAAGACGUUACUCAGAAGUGCUCCUCGGUGACAUACGUAUUUUAUCCCCAUCAAUGUUACUGAUGUGUAGUAGUUUUCCAAUGUAGGACCCAAAAUUGAUCAGCUUCUUAAAGAAUCCUAUUGUUUUUUCAUCCCCCAGAUUCCUGGAUUCCAGGUAAAUCAGAGGAACAAACCUGAACAGAAAUAUACAGGAAGUGAUGUGAUGCUGAAGCUUAACGCUUAUUUCAGAAGUCUGGUAUCUGGUGCUCUUAACAGCAGAAACUAUAUUAUUUGCAAAAUCACCACGCUUUUACUUGUAUUAUAUAGUAAUUUUUUAAAAAAUAAAUAUUGACAAUUUGUUCUUGAAAGCCUGAAUUGUUUAUUGCCUACCCUAAACUGUUUAAUUCUGCUCUUGUGUCAACUGGAAUAGGGAAGAGUAUUUGCAAGCUUAAGAUCUGAGGAUCCAGGAGUUCCCGUGGUGGCUCAGUGGUUAACGAAUCCAACUAGGAACCAUGAGGCCUUGCUCAGUGGGUUGAGGAUCCAGCAUUGCCAUGAGCUGUGGUGUAGGUCACAGAUGCGGCUCAGAUCUGGUGUUGCUGUGGGCUGUGGUAUAGGCCGGUGGCUACAGCUCUGACUGAACCACUAGCCUGGGAACCUCCAUAUGCUGUGGUGUAGCCCUAGAAAAGGCAAAAGGACAAAAAAAUCUGAGGAUCCAGAGUUGUAGAGCUAGUCUUGGG